AUCUUUCAAGAAUAUGGAGGAAAUUGCCAAUGGAAAAAUAAGAACUGGUUACUGAUUGAAUGGAGUGCACAGUCCAAAAAAUGCAUGCAAAAUGGUUACUGACAUUGUUCUUCACAAUCCGUCAUUGUUCUUUAUUGGUUUUGAUUCCCUCUUUCCCGCUGGUUGAUGGUUAUGCUUCUAGUUUAGAUAUUUUGAGAUGAACUGAACUUGCAUAUAAAUUUUGUCGGUAUUAUUCUUCUGCAGGGAAUCAUUUUGAAAGAAAACGGUAAAGUUGGAGAUGCAGAGAGGAUGUUUAUUCAGGCACGGUUCUUUGCACCAGAGAAAGCUAAGGCACUUGUAGAUCGUUACUCAAGACGGUAACUGCUGUUGUUACUGCCUGUUUUUGUGCAUGGUUCGUUUAUAACUUAGUCUUGAUGUAGUUCCAUUUUGACUAUUGGACUAUUUAUAUCGGUCUCCAAAAUUUUCAUAAGUUCA